AUGCGUCAAGUACAGGAGCUGCUCGACAAAGGAGGCAUUAAUAAUAUUACUAUUCGUUAUCGUCAUCCUAUUCCUAGGCUCGAUGAUAUGCUUGAUGAAUUGAGUGGCUCUACAAUAUUCUCCAAAGUUGAUUUGCGUAGUGGAUACCAUCAAAUUCGUAUGAAAUUGGGAGAUGAAUGGAAAACUGCAUUUAAAACUAAGUUUGGUUUAUAUGAGUGGUUAGUCAUGCCUUUUGGGUUAACUAAUGCACCUAGUACUUUCAUGAGACUAAUGAACGAAGUUUUACGUGCUUUCAUUGGACGAUUUGUGGUGGUCUAUUUUGAUGAUAUACUGAUUUAUAGCAAAUCUUUGGAAGAACAUUUGGAACAUUUACGUGCUGUUUUUAUUGCUCUACGUGCUGCACGUUUGUUUGGUAACCUUGGGAAGUGCACCUUUUGCACCGACCGAGUAUCUUUUCUUGGCUAUGUUGUUACUCCACAGGGAAUUGAAGUUGAUAAAGCCAAGAUUGAAGCUAUUGAGAGUUGGCCGCAGCCCAAAACGGUCACACAAGUGCGGAGUUUUCUUGGACUCGCUGGUUUCUAUAGGCGUUUUGUGAGAGAUUUUAGCACCAUUGCUGCACCUCUCAACGAGCUUACAAAGAAGGAUGUGCCUUUUGUUUGGGGUACCGCACAGGAAGAAGCCUUCACGGUAUUGAAAGAUAAGUUGACACAUGCUCCUUUACUCCAACUUCCUGAUUUUAAUAAGACUUUUGAGCUUGAAUGUGAUGCUAGUGGCAUUGGAUUAGGAGGUGUGUUAUUACAAGAUGGCAAACCUGUUGCAUACUUUUCUGAAAAAUUGAGUGGGCCUAGUCUGAAUUAUUCUACUUAUGAUAAAGAACUAUAUGCUCUUGUUCGGACUUUAGAAACAUGGCAACAUUAUUUAUGGCCCAAAGAAUUUGUUAUACAUUCUGAUCAUGAAUCUUUGAAACAUAUUAAAAGUCAAGCUAAACUGAAUCGUAGACGUGCUAAAUGGGUUGAAUUCAUUGAAACUUUCCCUUAUGUCAUUAAACACAAGAAGGGUAAAGAAAAUGUUAUUGCUGAUGCAUUGUCUCGUCGCUAUACUAUGCUUUCACAACUUGACUUCAAAAUAUUUGGUUUGGAGACCAUCAAAGAUCAAUAUGUGCAUGAUGCUGAUUUUAAAGAUGUAUUGCAGAAUUGUAAAGAAGGAAGAACCUGGAACAAGUUUGUCGUUAAUGAUGGAUUUGUGUUCCGUGCUAACAAGCUAUGCAUUCCAGCUAGCUCUCUUCGUCUUUUGUUGUUGCAGGAGGCGCAUGGAGGAGGAUUAAUGGGACACUUUGGCGUGAAGAAGACGGAGGACGUACUUGCUACACAUUUCUUUUGGCCAAAGAUGAGACGGGAUGUUGAGCGGCUGUUUUGA
rnacentral:rRNA from 1 species